GUUGUGGGUUUAUUAGCCAAUAAGUGAGGUGUUGGAGAAAAAUAGAGAAUGAGAUUGGUCCUAAGAUAGGGUCCCAAAACAUUGGAGAUUGACUGACUCGCACAUAAUAAGCAUAGACAUUUUCCUCCAUGUGACUAUAUAUUUAUCUUGGGUAGGAGAUGUUGGAUUAGGCCAAGCUGACACUAUUCAAUUACGUGUUGAAAUGAGUCUUUCAGCCUCAGAAACAUCGCCAAAUAUUAUUGCUAUGGUUCCCCUAUUGAAUUCUGCUCCUAGAAGGUCCCUGGGCGAUCCACCAAAGUUUAACACGACACCUUAUGCUACACGAAGAACAUGUGCGCCAAACUGUCUUAGCAAGGACGGUCAUGAGAUCAUAUAUGAUCUCUGGAAGUUGAUGAACAUCAUGCAUGGUUCUCGCAUGGUCGGGCCAACUAACAAUUCCCACUACUAGUACAGUUGUGCAAUGCAAGAUGUGUGUAUCCCUUUAGGCCGGUCUUUCCCUGCCAAGUUCGCCGCAUAUAUAAGUUCAAUAAAAGUUUGCCACAUAUAUUAUAUAAA